GCUGCAUGCUAGCUGACCUUGUGGCGUAGCCUCCUCUGUCUGCUCGCGCGCGCGUGCGCUCCAGGCUGUGGGUCACCUCUCCCUGGAGUCCCGGGAAGGACCGGUUGCGGGACCCAGGCCGGCGGGCGCCUCACACGUUCACUGGGUUCCCCGCACAGCACAGCGACUUCGAGGACAAGGGGAGCCUGAGGCCGCGGCGGCGAGCCCCAAGCCGUCUCCCGUGCGCCCCUGCGCCGGGCACGAUCAGGAUCAGUGCAGGAAGGGGCUCGGCCUGUAGGCACUCUGGCCUUAAGGUGCACCUUCAAGGCUGGACUGCUCUGAGGGUUUCAGCGAUGCAGUUUGGAAGGUGUCGUCUUCCCAUGGUCCCCCCUUCCCCAUGACACCCGCGAAAGGUGCGUGCAAACGUGGAAGUUUUGGAAGACAAGGUGGGCCCUGCUCUGCGAGUCACAAGCAGCCCAUGCGCAGGCAGCAUCCCUGCUUGCGCGUGUGUCGAAGUGGGGGCUAAACAACAGCAUCCCACGCUGCGCCGGGCACGGGAGGUCCCCACUUAGAAUCGGCCCACUGUGAAACCCAGCGGUUUUCAAAGCCUCCUUUAUGACGCAUGUGUGAAUACAGUCUCUUGAUAUUUAAA